rnacentral:tRNA from 1 species
GCUUAUAAUGCGGGCUUAGAACAUCCUUGGUAAGGAUGAGGUCAUCAGUUCGAAUCUGAUUAUCAGCUCCA